UACGAAGGGGGCUAGCGUUGCUCGGAAUUACUGGCGUAAAGGGCGCGUAGGCGGCCGAUCAAGUCAGGCGUGGAAAUUCCCGGGCUCAACCUGGGGGCUGCGCUUGAGACUGGUUGGCUAGAGGCCGAGAGAGGGUGGUGGAAUUCCCAGUGUAGAGGUGAAAUUCGUAGAUAUUGGGGAAGAACACCGGUGGCGAAGGCGGCCACCUGGCUCGGUACUGACGCUGAGGCGC
rnacentral:rRNA from 1 species